rnacentral:rRNA from 1 species
AUGAUUUGUUCAAGGAAUACUAGACUAUCCUCCCCGCAGAAAGGACUGUUAGAGGUUUCAUGUUGCAUUGCUUCUAGACGGCAAGUCGGACCAAUUGUUGAGAUUUAUGUGAAUAACCAUUCUGGUAAGAAGUUCGCGCAGAGUGUUUCAGAUGGUUGCAUGGGCCAUUCUUGUUUUUUUUGGAGUUUUCUUGACUCUAUGCCUUGCAAACAUAGUGGGGGUUCAACAAAGGCAUGCAUACUUACAUUUUGGAGCAGUGAGCUAAGUCAGAUCAGCUUGGAUUUUCAGUCAGAAAGUUUUUCCCCUAUAUCUGCAACCACAUAA